CCGAGCUAGGGUCUUAUAGUAUCGGCCCGACCUCCAACCCUUUGUCUACCUUACCACUUGUUGCUUCGGCGAGCCCGUCCCUUGAAAUAUAGGGACCGCCGAGGGUCUAGUUACCCUCGGCCCGCGCUCGUCGACAGCCAUUAUUAAACUCUUGCUUUAACUGUGUCGUCUAAGUAAAAAGCACUUAAUUAAAAUA
rnacentral:misc_RNA from 1 species